CCCUCAUCUCCCACCACCAAAAAUAUUGCAGAUAAACUAAGAGAAUUCGAGCUCGAUCUGUGGCGAUUAUACCCCACACGGAUCAACAACCUUUGAUCACCCCUGUCAAAUUGUUCUCAUAAAUCCAGUGGCACGCGUCUAUUUUCCCGGGGCCCGACCCCGAUGAAGGCUUCAUGACCCGGGCUCCAUGGAGGCAGAUUGGUCGACACGUCUUCAUGGAGGCCAGGUCAUGAAGUCUUCAUCCCAUUGGGGUCGGCCCGGGGAAAUAGAGGUGUGCCACUGGUGAGAAUGAUUUCACAUGAGCGAUCGCAGAUGAUCCGUACGUGUUCGCAUUUGGGUUGAGUACUGUCGCGGGAAACAGAUUGAGCAGAACUUGGGGAGAUGCGAUGAAGGCGAGCUCUGAUCGGCUAGCGUAUUGGGCGACGAAGCGGAUCUCUAUUUGAUUACACACCCACCAACACAACCCCUUUCCCUUCACGUUGCAUUCAUUUUUUAUAGCUAUGUUUUUCAUUAAAUAAAUGUAGUAUUUCAUUAAACGUAAUUAUUCCUCACCGCCA